UGGGGAAUUUUGGACAAUGGGGGCAACCCUGAUCCAGCCAUGCCGCGUGAGUGAAGAAGGCCUUCGGGUUGUAAAGCUCUUUCGGACGGAACGAAAUGGUUAUGGUGAAUAUCCAUGACUGAUGACGGUACUGUAAGAAGAAGCACCGGCUAACUACGUGCCAGCAGCCGCGGUAAUACGUAGGGUGCGAGCGUUAAUCGGAAUUACUGGGCGUAAAGCGUGCGCAGGCGGCCGCGCAAGUCAGGUGUGAAAUCCCCGGGCUUAACCUGGGAAUUGCGCUUGAAACUAUGCGGCUAGAGUGUGGCAGAGGGGGGUGGAAUUCCACGUGUAGCAGUGAAAUGCGUAGAGAUGUGGAGGAACACCGAUGGCGAAGGCAGCCCCCUGGGCCAACACUGACGCUCAGGCACGAAAGCGUGGGGAGCAAACAGGAUUAGAUACCCCCGUAGUCCCUGAGCGGGCUGGCAAGGCGCAU
rnacentral:rRNA from 1 species